GUGUAUUGUUCCAGAAUCAACACACAAGUCUCCAAGCACAUAGCCUUUUGUGACUAGAGUGGAGUGGAAACAAUCUAAGGGGGCGAAAGCAAGGGCAAGCGAGAAGAUGAUCAUUCCAGUACGUUGCUUCACUUGCGGGAAGUUAAUUUUAGGUCAUUGGAAACAAAUGGGACACUUAUCUUGAUCUUCUUCAAGCUGAUUACACUGAAGGCUCUGGAGAAAUCGGAGGGCACCUAAGGAGGACUAUGGAGUUGCAAGAAUGAAUUUUGUUAGUGUGAAAGCAUGGUUUUUGUGUUUGUUCAGUUUUUAAUGAAUUACAUUUCAUGGAAUUCAUGUUUGGAAUAGAAUGAAGCAACAAAUAUUUGGGAAGACAAAACGGGCAUCUGCUUUUAACACGUCUGUUCAUAGUUCCCGUUUUUGUUUAUGAAUUGUUUGUUUGUGUAUGAAAUCUAUCAACUAGAUCUAAUGCCAGUAGAGGUCCGGGUUCUAUGACAGGAAAGGUUAUAUUCUCAUUCUGUUAGACGUAGAACCAGGAAAGGCUAUAUAUUUUUCAUUGUGUUAUGAUUGUGUUUUCAUGGCCUAUAAAAAAAUAAUUAAUCCAUGCAUGCAUGGAUUGACAAAAAGUUGGAAACUCUUA